rnacentral:tRNA from 3 species
GGUCUGGUGGUCUAGUGGUAUGAUUCUCGCUUAGGGUUCACCCUACAGCAAAUAUGCGAGAGGUCCCGGGUUCAAUCCCCGGCCAGACCC